rnacentral:lncRNA from 1 species
AGUGGCACGAGGAUCGUGUGCACGCUCCCAUCACCCAGCACACCAAACCAGAAAGGAGGGGCAUGGCUGUUAUAGAGAAAUAGGUCAAGGUCAAAAAACCUCCAGAGACCAGAGGAGAGAGAAGCUUCCAGGCUCAGCUUCAUUCCACCUCCUGCCUCUAAGUGCUGUCAGAUUGGACUGCCAGUAGAACUGCCACAACCACCUGGCCUCAGGUCAAAAGUGAAGAAGCAGAGAGCACCGUCCACACCCUGCCUUGGAUCCAAAAGGCCUUCUUCACUGUCAAGGAUAACAGUAAAGAGAGUUCCAGAAAUGUGGUUUAGAACAAGAGCCCCCGUAGAGGUGAGGAAUUUCUCAAAGGUAAUAGUUUCCUGUUUCAUUUCAUCAGGAAAAUAUGGUUAAGAGUUUAAAUAAGUUGAAUCCUCAUUAAUAAAAUUCAUUCUAUUCUUAAAAUUAAACUUCAAC